CCUCUCCCUCUCCCCCCUCCCUCUCCCUCUCUCUCUCUUUCCCUCUCUCUCUCUCUCUCUCUCUCUCUCUCUCUCUCUCUCUCUCUCUCUCUCUCUCUCUCUCUCACACACACACACACACACACACACACACACACACAAUCUCUCUCUCUCUCCCCUUCCCCCAACUUGGUGUUUCUUCCAGCUCAGCCUCCUUCUCAUUCCAUCUCUACGUGCCCAGAGCUUCAAAUACAACCCUCCCCUCUCAGUCAGAUGGGCACAAAACUUCAACCAGCCGUUUCUCUGCCUGGAAGCGGUGAGAAUGUAAUCUGGACGGGAGGCUGGAUGGGGACACAUUCCGUGAGUGACAUCUUACCAGAGGGUGGCCACGAACUUUAUCAUGUUCCACAACUGUUAAUCACGACUGGAGCUGGCCCUGCUGCUCUCUGGCCUCCUCUCUAUGGAACUGUGCCUCUUCUCUAGGAAGAGUCCUUGAAGCUCUGCUGAGGGCAAAACCUCUUCUUUCAGCUCAUGUCAAUCUUGGGAUUUUUUCCCAGCGUGUUCAGAUUCUGGCUUGGAGGUGCUAUCUCCGGUUGACUUUUGACAUCAACCAAGCCCACUAUUUGCCUCUUUUGGUUUGUGAUGUUAACAAGCUUUUGGAACUAGUUCUAUAAGAUACUCAACCCCUAUCGUAUGAUGAUAGGUGCUGGAACUAGGCUUGUUGGGUUCAAAUUUUUGCUGUCGCUAACUGGCUUUGUGAACACAUGUCAGUUACUAAAUCUCCCUGUGCCUCGGUUUUUAAAAUAUGUCACUGGGGAGUUAUUGUAGUGUCUGUGGGUCUCAGUCAGGAAUUGCUAUAGAACAAACCACCCUAAAACUUAGUAACAUCAACAACAAGCCUUGUUUUUUUUUCAUUCUUGCAUCUGGAGAGAGGCUGGGGAGGAGGAGGCUGGGGUUUGGCGUUUCUAAGUGGGGCUUGCUAGGCUUGGCCCUGCGCUGUGCAGUAAGCACAGGUAUUCUCCAUUUGUCUUUCAUCUUCUUUGGACCACUGGCUACAUGUUCUCAUGGCAAAGAGGAGAAUAAAAGGGCAAGUCCUAUUGGCCAAAGCAAGUCAAUGGGGCAGAGAAGGGUACGCCCCUAGGGGGAGGUAGAGGGGAGUGGAUUUUUGUUGAACAAUUAUCCUAUCACAUUGUUGUGAUAGUUAAAUGAUUUAAUGACUUUAUUUUUUUUAAUUUUUUUUGGGGGGGGGGCCAAUUUCACUCUUGCUACCCAGGCUGGAGCGAUCUCAGUUCACCUCAACCUCCAUCUCCAGGGUUCAAGUGAUUCCCCUGCCUCAGCCUCCCAAGUAGCUGGGACCACAGGCAUGUGCCACCAUGCCCGGACAAUUUUGAAUUUUUAGUAGAGACAGGAUUUCUCCAUGUUGGUCAGGCUGGUCUUGAACCCCCAACCUCAGGUGAUCUGCCCGCCUUGGCCUCCCAAAGUGCUGGAAUUACAGGUGUGAGGCACCGCACCUGGCCAGAUUUAAUAACUUUAGAGUGCUAAUAAGAGUACGUGGCAUAGAGUAAGUGUUCAAUAAACAAGAAACAGUAGUGGUGAUAAUGUCAGUACUAGUGGUGACACGAAUAUCGGCAUUUUUAGUAGUACAUGCCUACCUCAGGUACUCUUUCCAAGAUGCACAUUCACACCAAAGGGUAAAUGUCUGCCAGUAUAAUAACACAGACCUCAAGUGUGUAUGUUUAACAGCAGCGGUUAAGCCAAAGAGGUGAAUGCAUAAGGGUAGAUUUUUGAGACUCAGUAAAAUCUGAUGACAAAGAAAGAAGGUUCUGGAGUAAGUCGAAUCUGGAUCCAAAUGCAAACUCCGCCACCUGCUUGCUGAGUAACCAUGGGCCAGUUUCUCGCCCUUGCAGUGCCUCGUAGGGUAGUGUGAAUUUGAUAAGCUGCUGUAAGCAAAGAAGUCAGAAAGCCUCUGGCCCACAGGGAGGUCGAUAAACACCCAUGGGUUAAAAAGGUCUGGAGCGGAGGGAGGAGGCAGCAGAAGCCCCUCAUAGAAACCCGAACCUUGCCAGCAGGUGGUAAGGUCACCUCUGUCCCUGGGUCUUUCCAGUAGAGAUUCACUGAGUACCUACUAGGAGCCAGGCAUAUGCUAUGGAACCCCAGAUUCACUUCUGCUCAGUCCACUCAUUUCCACAGUUCACUUGCCUCCGAGUAAGUCCGGUGGCAUGUUAGUUCCACUGGAUCUUACAUACGGUUAUCAAAAUUAAAAUUAAAAUGGCCACACAAGGAUUCUGUGGCAAAGCAAGUUAGAGAACUUGCACUAAACAGCUAAACAGGUUCUAUGGCGGAGGGACUUCGAGCCCUGCCUACGCUCCUGGGCCCAAGGUUCUCCCAGAGAGGGAGGCGGAAGUCAGGCUUCCAGACUUAAGAGCGCAUAGAGCCCAAAAAACUGGAACCUGGCUUUGGGAAACAGUGCUAUAAUUCCUUAGCAUCUCUCUACCCCACCCUUCCUUGCACUGUUGGCUGCCGGCACUCCUUCCUACCUUGCUGGUCCCCACUGCCCCGUUCCUGGUUUCCCCCAUCCCCCAGGAAGUGCAGUAAGCUUUCCCAAGCUUACAUCCUUUGCCCGGUGGCAUACUGCCUGCCCGCCCCCCACAGGAUCAGGGGCUCUAUGCGUGCUAUUUUCUGGUUUCUCUCUGUGAGAUGUCUUCUUCCUCCCCUGCCUGGCGAAUUCUGUUCAUCCUCCAUGCCUCUGUCCCUUCAGGCAGCCUCCUGCUGCCCUGGUGUGGGAUCAAAGUCCCUUUUCAGAUCCUCUUGGCCUCCACAGUGUCGCUCUCUCAUACCUAGUUACUGGCUGGCACCUGUAAGCUUCCUGCUGUCUCCUUCCCCUCCUAUUUUGAGUGCCUUGAGGUGGGGGCAGCCAUGUAGCUUAUGGUUAAGCUUAUAUGAUUGCAGGGGGCUUUAGAUCCUGUGUGACUCUGGGCACCUGCCUGUGCUUCAGUGUCCUGCUCUGUGAAAUGGGCAAUGACAAUUGUAGCACCUUAUAGGAUGCUAUGUGCAGGGAGAAGCAGCUUUUCCAUUCCUGCUUCCCUUAAGGGGGGAGGUGGCAGAAUGAAAUGGAAGGGUCUCAUACCUGGCGCCUGGGUUUGAAUGCUGCUAUGAGACAAUGGGUGAGUGACUUUCCCGCUGAAAGCUCUGCUUCCUUCUCCAAAUGAUGUCUAUGUCUAUUGCAUGUCUAUUGCAUGUCAGUUGAACUGAUAAUCUGAGGCUACGCAUAGGAACUGACAGAGUAGGUGCUUAAUAAAUAUUUUUAAAGAAAUAUAUAGACUUCCACUCAGUACCACAGACCGGGGGCAUGUAACUUGCUGGGCUCCCUGAAAGCCUGAAUGGGAAGGCAUUUAGAGGACAGGUGAAUCUAUUGCUUUAUUUCACAGAUGAGAAACCAAGGCCCAGAGAGGGCCAGGACUCACCCAAGGGCACACAGCAAGUAGGGGUUAGUAGAUCUUAGAUAAGAGCCCAGGUCUACCUGCCUUUCAGUCCAGGGAGAUUUCAGACCCUCUAGACAAGGCCUCAAGACGUCUUGGCAUUGAAAAGCCUGUAGGGAUAGUAAACCACAAAAGUGGCUCCUGCCUGUAAUCUCAGCACUUUGGGAGGCUGAGGCAGGAGGAUCACUUGAGCCAGGAGUUGGAGACUAGCUUAGGAAACAAAGCAAGACCCCCAUCUCUACAAAAAAAUGAAAAAAAAAAUUAACUGGGUGUGGUAGUGUGUGCAUGUUGUCCUAGCUACCUGAGAGGCUGAGAUGGGAGGAUCCCUUGAGCCCAGGAAUAUGAGGCUAUAGUGAGCUAUGAUUGCACCACUGCAAUCCAGCCCGGGCAACAGAGCAAGACCUUGUCUCAAUCAAUUAAUCAAUAAAACCACACAGAUACCAAAAGGAUGGGAGUGUAAUUAUUUCUGAAAACACCCUACACUAACAGGCUUUGGUUUUAAAAUGGUCAAGUACACUCUUUUUUUCUUUUGAGACAGGGUCUCACUCUGUCACCCAGGCUGAAGUGCAGUGGUGUGAUCGUAGCUCACUGCAGCCUCAACCUCCCGGGCUCAAGCGAUCCUCCCACCUCAGCCUCCAAAGUAGCUAGGACUACAGGCAUGCACCACUGCACCUUGCUAAUUUAUUUUUAUUUUUGUAGAGAUGGAGGUCUUGCUAAUGCUGCCCAGGUUGGUCUCGAACUCCUGGCCUCAGUGAUCCUCCUGCCUCGGCCUCACAAAGUGCUGAAAUUAGAGGUGUGGAGCCACCAAGCCUGGCCUGAUUUCAUCAGUGUUCCAGUUGUCUUGAGAUCUGCAGUCUCCCCUUUACUUCCAGUUUAGCUUGAGCAUGGUGUGAAGGUCACUUGCCUCCAGAUGCAAGUGUCAGGCAGGCACCCGCUACCCUGUUGUACAAUCCAGUGUAGACACCUCUUUUGGGCUUGGGCCUGCCCCUCUUGGCCAGGUGUGGUAGUGGAGGGAGGUGUAGAGAAGCCACAUCCCCUGAGCCCUUCCCUGGAUGGGACACAGUGCUCUAUGCUUGACCCCACACCAGCUAGAGGUUAAGGGGUCUCCCUUGGGGUCUGAGUCCCAGGAUCACCAUGCCCCAAGCCAUGUGACCUUGGGAAAGCCACCUGCUCCCAGCCCUCAGUUUGCUCAUCUGUCCAAUGGAAGGGAGGCUGGCAUUUCUAUCAGUGGUGCUGCGGGGAUGGGAUAGAAGGAGAUAAAGCUUUUGGGGCACUCAGCAGAGCACAUGGUAGUCAGUCAUCAGGAUUGUUUCCUUUAAAUGCAACUCUUAAAAUCAGGGACCCAAGCACCCUCAAAGACACUCCCAAGGUCUUUGACCUCAAACUGGGAAUGGUUGCAUUACCCCUUUCCCUCAUGCUUGUGGUCCAAUGGCUCGUUUCCAUGCUGGGGGCAUUCUCUGGGCGUCAUGAAGGGCACAGUGUUGCUCCCUGGCAUUUGCAAAGGUGCCUGGCAUGGGUGCAGCAUUUCACUGUGUACAAGCCCCUUCUUCUACCCAGUCCAUACCUACCCCUCAUAUACCUAUAGCACGUUACAGUUUAUAUGUUGCACAGCAUCUGCCGGGCUUAGGAGGCAGACCCUUGGUUUACAGAGCACACAGAGGCCUGGAGAGCCACGGGAGCCCAGCGAGCUGCACGGGCCCCAGGCUUUGCCUCUGGGCGGCCCCACGGGCGGUGGUACGAUUCUGGCUCGCAUCCAGUCCCCUCGGGCUCUACCUUCUCGUGCUCCCUCUGUGUCCUGCAGAAGAUGAAGUCUUCCUGAACGAGGCUCGGGAACGCUGCCACUGUUCAAUGAGCUAAUGGUGAAAUUGGAAGCUCAAGGGCUGGAGGCAGAGAGAGAGAAAAAAAAGACAAGCUUUGAUUCAUGGGCAGGAGGAUGAGUGAAUGGGGAAGACUCAUCCUGCAGUAAUCAGAGGAAACGCCUGAGCGUCCUUCGUCCUUCGAGCAAAGUCGCUCCCGGAGAGGGGAAGGUCAUGCAAGUGGCAAGCUUAGUGCCCACUGGUGGCCGAAGCCAGGAUGGGGAGGCAAGGGAGUGGGCUUGGGGCAGACAGACCUGGGCUCUGAUCCCAGUGCCACUGCAGCAGCAACCGUGCCACCCUUGCCUGUGAAGCAGGGUGAUGGUGUUUAUUAUCUCGGGGGUCCCUUGAGCAGAGUAAGUUAGCUGGUAGCAGCUGGGCACAAAAUAGGUGCUCACAAAAUAAAAACCCCUGGAAGCUUCUCUAGUAGAGCACGUGGAGACAAUGUACUGUCUCUUUAGAAGAGGGGUUAAAAUCUGCCAGCUGCCUCCACUGGUCCUGAGUGAGUGACUGAGCUGUUUUCACAGUCUGAUUUCCAGGGUCGGGGUAGUCAGCUGGAGGCAUGACAAGGUUUCUAGAGGUAAUCACUCACUUAGCUCUAGAAUGAGCCAUGGGGCCCGUGAGAGUGAGAGGAAGGGGUAACACAACCGUUCCCAGUUUGAGGUCAAAGACCUUGGGUGUGCCUUUGAGGUCCCCUGAAUCCCCGAUUUUAGGAAGCUGCGGUUGAAUGAAACAAAGCUGAUGGCUGUGAUUACCAUGUGCUCUGCUGAGUGCCUCAAGUGCUUUAUCUCCUUUUAUCCAAUCCCCGCAACACCGCAGACGGAAAUACCAGCAUCCCUUCCGUUUGACAGAUGGGCAGACUGAGGCCUGGGAGCAGGUGUCUUUUCCAAGGUCACAGAGGGAGCAGGAGGCUUGGGGCAUGGUGAUCCCAGGACUCAGAUCCCAAGGGAGCCCCCUUAACCUCUCGAUAAUCACUGUCAUGUCCAGCAGGUCACCAUAGGCAUUCUCACAUGGUCUCUCUCAUUCUUUGCAUGGACUCGAUGAGCUGGGUGUUAUGAUCACUGCAGGUGAGGAUGCUGAGAUCUGCGGGACAGAGAUUGGUGCCGGGUCACACAGCUGGCAGAUGACAGCACUUGGCCUCCAGUCUGGAGCUCUUGCCUCCAGCUCCUCAGUACCUUCUCAUACUCCAUCUUAAUUUGGGAGGAAAUGGAAUCGCCUGGGAGAAGGAAAGGAAUGAAAUUAGAGUGUUAGAAGGAGAAUGUUAUUGUGCCUUGAACAGUUUUAGAAUUUCCUCCAGAUCCUUCAGACCGGCGACCUCACCUGCAGACAUUGUGAUACGAAGGCAAUUGACUGCAGCCAGAAAGCUCCGACUCACCUAUUUUUUUGUUUAAACUUCAGAUUCCCGAAUUAAUAGAGGCUUCCUCUGUGUGCUGGGAGGAUGCCAGGCAAGCUUCCCAGCCUGGAACUGGAAGAUAAUAGUAAUUAAUGGAGCCGGUUUGUGUGAGGAGCCUCAGCUUGUGAGGCAAGUGGCGUAGCUCCGGCUCCCAGAGCCCCUGAUAUUGAUAGCAGGGUGGACCUCGGCUUAAGUCCAUACCACUUACUGUGAUGUCCACCCAAGCCACCGGAAGCCUGUGAGUCCUUGCCACACCAGGCGUCGGGUACCCUCCUCUCUGCCUUACCAUCUCCACCGUUGCUUUCUCCAUGUACCAUGGGAUUGUGAGAACUUGGUGGCGCAGGGCACAUUGCAGACUUCAUGGCUGGGAGUGGCUGGAGACGUCGCCUGGUGUCUGACCUGGGAAGGAGCAGGUGAGAGUAGGCGUUGGGCACUCCCAGUGUGGUAGAAAGACAGCGGGGCACUCUGCCUGCUUCCCCAACACCUCUCUUGCAUCACUCCCUGGUAAAUGCUGUCCUAUCAGUUUGGUGUCUCUCGUCGCUGGAGCUGUGGGAAAUCCUAGGACUCCAAGAAUGAGACCUUCUUUGAGAUGGCUCUGGAGGAUUUAGUAACUUUGUUCUUCCAAGUGAAACUUUGGAGCCCUUUCAGGGCCCUUUCAGAGGGAGGCUGGGGAGGGAGGAGCCCCCAGGACCUCCCGGCGUCCUGUUACACACGGAGCCCCCGAGUAGUGCCUUCUCAGGACACUGCUGCAGGGUUCAUUAUCCUCAUGUUACAGGUGAGGAAACGAAGGCUCAGAGACACAAAAGGACGUGUCCAAGGUCACAUGGGCAGCUAGUGGCAGAGUCGGGAUUUGGAUCCGGGUUUGCCUGUCUUCAGAGACCCAGGAGUCACAGGCAUUUGCUGUCUAGGAUCACCCAGAGUUGAUCUUCUACUUCUGCUUCCACCAUCCUAACGUCUUUUAGAGCAAUCGCCUCUUCCCUGUCGGGUGGAGUCUUGGGGCACUGUCCUUUAAGGUUCCCUGCCCUCCCUUAGACACUGACCCAAACUGAGCUCAUCAGACGUGCCGUCCUGGACCCUGAGCCAGGAACAGAGAGUGACAGGGACAAGCACCCCAUCCCCAAAGAGAGAGAAACAAACAGUGAAGAGCAGUCAUUCCAGCCCUGGACUGAUACAGCCAUCGAGUAGCUCCAGCUUCCCAGGCUUGGGAGCUGUUGCAGUUCCUGUCCAUUUCCAGGUCCCAGUUUUCAGAUCCCACUCAGUGUGGCCUAGCUGAUAUCCUCCAAAUAAAUCCCCCUACUCCUAUUUUAUCUAUUUAUUUAUUUAUAGAUGGGAAGUUUUACUCUAUUGCCCGGGCUGGAGUGCAGUGAUGUGAUCACAGCUCACUCCUACCUCAAACCCCCGGGCUCAAGCAAUCCUCCUGCCUUAGCCCUCCCGAGUAGCUGGGACCACAAGCACGCACCACCAUGGCCAGAUAAUUUAACUUUUUUUUUUAAUGUUGCCCAGGCUGGUCUUGAACUCCUGGCCUGAAGUGAUCCUCCCACCUGGGCCUCCCAAAGUGCUGGGAUUGCAGGCGUGAGCCGCCGCACCCGGCCUCCCCAUUUUAUUUGCUUUAGUCAGCCACAGUUGGUUUCCAUUGUUUGUAAUCAAAUAAUCCUCUCUGGUACCCUAAGCAUGGUGUGGGAUCCUGCUCUUUGCCUAUGGGGAACCCCUCUGUUCUCUGUGUAUUGAUGAAUUAUGACAUUUAAGGCACUCAGAACAGGGCCUGGCUCUCAAAAACGGUUCUGCCAUUCUUACUGGACUCCGAUUCUGUUCUCCUCUUGGACUUGGUUCACACAGGGGUCCAGGCCUGGGUGUGUGGCCGGUUCUGGGGCUAUUGGGAUCCCCACGAAGCCUGAGCUGACAGGUCUUGGUUCAGUUCCUACCAGGCAGAUGCUGGUGUCGUGUCAGAUUGAGGCUUACCACAGCUGGCAUUAAGUGACCAUGUGACUGCCUGGCAGCUGCCACCUGUGCCGUGUUCCAGGGGCCCCGGCCAGGAAGGGCUGGACUCACCAUCCUCCCCAACAGUCGUGGUGCUAUGAAGCAUGAUGAUCGUCAUUUUUCUGAGCACCUACUAUGUGCCAGGCCCUGUAACAAUAAUAAGGGCAAUCCUAAUCAUGAAAGCCACAGCAUCAAACAUUGUCAAUUUGUUCUUCCCAGCAUUCUUAUGGGGAGGCUUGUGCCCAUUUUACGGAUGAGUAAAUUGAGGUUGAGGAAAUGGGACGAUGCUGGGAAAACAUGGAAGGUACUUGGGUUCCACUUGGUGUUUCAACUUCAGCAGAGGCGUUGGCUGGUUUCUUCAAGGUAAACACAGAAGUAUUUGAUUUUCCAAGACAGCAUAGCUUAAUUGACAUGAGAAACACAUACACUCCUCCUAUUAAUAUGGCUUUGAUUGUGCUCUCUGCAAAAUAUUCCUGGCUCUCUCAUGUUAUGGGGCCUUCGCCUCCUCCCUGGGUUAUGUCUGGAUCCUUGGGGACAAAUGGGAACAUCCUCACACAAGCUGGCCAUGCACCGAUGACUCCUAGAUUUCUUUUUCUUUUCUUUUUUUUUAAUUUUUUUAUUUUUGAGACAGAGUUUCACCCUUGUUGCCCAGACUGGAAUGCAAUGGCACAAUCUCAACUCACUGCCACCUCCACCUCCCAGGUUCAAGCGAUUCUCCUGCCUCAUCCUCCCAAGUAGUGAGAUGACAGGCGUGCGCCACCAUGCCCCACUAAUUUUUGUAUAAUUAGUAGAGAUGGGUUUCACUAUGGUGGCCAGGCUGGUUUCAAACUCUUGACCUGAAGUGAUUUGCCUGCCUCGGCCUCCCAGAGUGCUGGGAUUACAGGUUCGAGCCACCGUGCCCCGCCAACUCCCAGAUUCUAUCUCCAGUCCAGCCGGAUCCUGCCUCCUAGACUGGCUUCUCCAAUGGCCUUCUUGACACCUCACUGGGAUGCCUGGAAGACACCUCAAGCCCCACACAUCCAUACUCUCAGGCUCCCUCACUUCCUGACCCUGCUUCUUCUGCAACUUCCUUCACCUCGAGGGCUUGCAACUCUGUCCUCCUCAUGCUCAGUCCAAAGCCCUGCAGCCCUCCUUGGCUUCCUCUCCUUCCACACCUCAUCCCUUAGGCAAUCAUGCAUGGGUCAGGAAUUGAUCACCUUUUUCCCUUCUGCCCCCUUCACCCUGGUCUGAGCCACCAUCCUUUCUUGCCCGGAUUACCCCGUUCUCUUCCUGCCCUGCUCCCAGCUCCUGUGCUGGAUCCACCUUCAUCCCUUCCCAACCCAGAGACUGGAUGAUCCUUUGAAGACAGGGGUCAGACCAUGUCCCCUAUCUGCUCCAGCCUGGAUUACGACUUCCAUUUUGCUCAAAGGUGUGAAGACCCCCAGGAUCCUCCUGAUCUGGCCUCAGGUCCCACAGCUCUUUUCUGCCUGCUCUGUUCAGCCACACUGGCCCCUUGCUGUCACCUCCCCCCCAUGCCAGGCUGGCUCCUGGCACAGGGCCUUUGCACCAGCCACUCCCUCCUCCUUCUCGCUAUGCACAUGGCUCACUUCCUCAUCUCCCACGAGACUGCUCAGUGAGCUCCUUCUUCCCCGACCACACUAAGAUUGCAUCGUCCACACCUCACACCCCAAACCCCUCCUCUCCCUCAUGCUGCCCUACUUUUUGUUUGUUUCAUAGCAAGCAUCACCUUCUGAUCCCCUUAUUGAAGGAUUUCACUUAAGUAUCUACUUUAGGAGAAUUUGCUGAAGGCGAUUUAUGAUUGCUGUUCGUUGUCUGAAUUAUGUCAGCUCCUCCAGGGUGAAGCUCUUUGCCUGUUUUGUUCCCCACAUGUCACAAGCUUCUGGAGCAUUGCCAUGCACACAGUGGACACCCCGCGGAUGAAUUCUCAACAGCUUUCCUCGGAUCCUCAAAUUUCUCCCUGACUCUGGGGUCACAGAGCGUCAGUUCAUGUCCUCGUACACAGUAUCAGGAGAACCAGCAGAAAAGAGAACGACCCUGCAGUGGAGGCUGUUGGCUCAGUUGUUGUUCUCGGCUGUUGGGAUCUGCCCAGGUGAAAGCCCUCUUAGGCUCCUGCUCUGUCACACCUCCGGGCCUUUGCACAUGUUGUGCCUCUUUCUUCCCAGUAGACUGUUGGGUGUCAUUGAAAGCCCUGGUAAGGUAUUGCCUCUUUCCUGAGGCCCUACAGGACACUGCCACCCUCCUCAGUCCUAGGAAACACGUAACCCCGUCUUCCUUUCCUGGUGUUUCUCAGUGUGUGGGUCCCAGUGCCUGGGAUGUGGCUCUGUGUCCACUGCAUCAUCAGCUCCUUGAGGGCAGAGGCUGGGCUCUUGCUCUGUGUUCUGAGAUGGCCUGGGGCUUGGCACAGGGCAUGUGCCCAGUCAGUGUUCCUUGGGGAGGACACAGUAAAUCUGACACAAGCCAGGAGAGAACAAAGAGGGUCGUGAAGACCCUUUCAAGGUCACUGGCAGGCGGGGAAUGAACACUGUCUUAUUUGAUCAUUUAUUUAUACUCUAUUUUCAAAUACGAUUUGAGACAGCCUGAGAUGAAAGGCAUAGAUACGGCAAAAAUGAAGCUCUGCCUCUUGAGUGCCUCCUCCUCCUCCUCCUCCUCCUCCUCCUCCUCCUGGCUCUUCCUCCCUGGCUAUAAACGUGCCCCAGUCUCUGUCCUCCUAACAAAAGUGCCCUAAACCCCCCAGCAGCUCUGUGGCCCUCUGCAGCCCAGGCUUUCAGACAGGGCCUUGCAACCACUGUCUAUGCUCAGACCUGCUUUCUGAAGCUGGAGUCAUCUCACUUCUGCCCCGUCCCUCCACCAAACCCAUCUUAGCCAGGGCACUGGGCACUUCCAUGUCACUGAUACAGUGGACACACUCAGCUCUGUCACUGGAGUUCUAGGCAGCCCUGGGCAUUUUGGCCCCUCUUCCCUUCUCCAAGCCCUUGCUUCCCUUGGCUUAUUUGACUCUUGGAGUUUCUCUCUGGUUUCUCCUUCCCACCUCCCCUCCUCUGCUCAUCCCAUAAACAUCUGUGAGCCUUGGGACUCCCUCUCUCCCCUUUUUCUAUUCACCCUACACACUUUCCCUGAGCAAUUCUCUUUUAUUCCCAUGACUGCAGUUACCAUCAGGACUAGUUUGGGUAAUUCUAGAAAGACAUAAACCCCCCAAAACUCAGUGGCUUAACACAGUACUAAUUCCUUUCUCCCUUCCAUAAAGUUCAUUCAGUAGCAAGAGGAGAGAAGGGGGCUUGGUUCCUUCUGGUCAUCAAGGGAUGCAGGCUCGAUUCACUUGGCUGCAAUUGACCCUGAAUCUGUGCUCACAUUGGACAAGAGCAGGGUGGGGGUAGCCCGUCCCCUUACCAUCCCAUCACCAGAAGAUUGUCACCCUACCUCCCUGAGCAUCCUUUCCUUCAUCUAUCCAGAGGGGAGCACACCACCCACCUUGAGACUCUGUUGUGAGGCUCCAUGAGAGCACAGACACAUGAUGAUGCUUAUGAGGACGUUCUAGGUGGCCAGGGAUAGGCUUCUUUCUCUCAUAUUUCCUGAGCCUAGGAAACAUCUGCCAGUUGGCUGAACCCCGGAGCUGGGGGUGUGGCUAGAAGGAGAUGGAGUCAGACACCAUCACAAGUCAUGUUCUCAGGGUGGCCUUGCUGCUAGGGACUGUGCAGGGACAUCCCGGCCAGAGGGCAGCUGUGUGACUGGAUCCUUCUCCAUAAAUUCGAGGCCAGAGCAUGGGAACUCACCCAGAGAACUGACUCAGCCUUCUGGCUGGCUCUCAGAGCCUGUGCUGGGCUGCAGCAUGGCUGACUGUCAAAUCCAUCACCCACAAUCAACUUCACGACAGUGGGCAUAUGUCACUGGCUCUCAAAGCCAGACAGGCUGGACCCUCGGUCCUCUUCACAGGGAGGGAGGACUGACACUGAUUGAGCACCUACUGUGUGCCAGGCAUUCUCUUAAGUGGUUUAUAUCCACCAUCGCUUAAGUCUUAUGGUAGCCUAGGAAGGAGGUCAUCGUUCCCAUCUCACAAAAUCAGGAAACCAAGACUUAGGAAGCUUAAGAUUUCAAAAUUUCAAUAAAAGCACAACAAGAAAGAGGAAGCCCAAGGCAUGCACACUUCAAACACCCAGCAGCUUAUCUAUGAGCUCUCUCUUGACCCACUUCUUGAACUCUCCUAAGACCGUAUCACGGAAAGGAAAGGAAGCAGGGACUGGGGAUUGGAAUGCCUGGCCUCUCAGUGCAGAGGCAGCACUUACUAAAUGAGUCAUGUUGUGCAAAGCAUUGUAACCUCUUGAAGACUCAGUUUCUCAUCUGUCAAAUGGUCACAAUCACACUGCUCUCCCAAGGGCAAGGGAGAGGAAUUCACAAACUGCCAAAAGAUCCACAUUUUCUUCCUCUUUUUGAGAUGGGGUCUCACUCUGUCACCCAGCCUGGAGUGCAGUGGCCUCCCAAAGUGCUGGGAGGCCCCGUUCUCUCCUCUUGUUACUGAAUGGACUUUAUGAAAGGAGGAGAGGAAUUUGUACUGAGUUAAGCCACUGAGCUUUGGUUUAUCUCUUUAUAGAAUUACCUGAACUAGUCCUGGUGGUAACUGCAGUCAUGGGAAUGAAAGAGAAUUGCUCAGGAGAAGUGUGUCGGGUGAAUAGAGAAGGGGGAGAGAGGGAGUCCCAAGGCUCACAAAUAUUUAUGGGAUGAGCAGAGGAUGGGAGGUAGGAAGGAGAAACCACAGAGGUAGAAUGGACCCCAAGGGUGUGGCAUCCAGCAGAAGCAAAGAGGUCAGGAGCCACGGAACCUGGCCAGCAUUUUCUCUGGUUCAGCUGCUGCCAUCUCCCACUCAGAUGCUCCUUAGGGGUCUUCUGUGGCUUACUCUGUUCUUUGGCAGUCUCUUCUCUGCACAGCAGCUAAAGGAAUUUUUUGAAACAGAAAUUAGAUCAUGCCACUUCCUUGCUCGAAACCCUUAAAUAAGUUUACAUGCAUUCCUGACACCUUGUGUGAGCAAGCUCUGACUAUCUCUUGGCACCUGUCCCUUUCCCUUAGCUUUCUCUUCAGCCCCUGGCCUCCUUUUUACCUUUUUGUCACCCUGUGCUUGUAUUUUUUCUUUUAUUGAGACAGAGUCUUGCACUGUUGCCCAGGCUGGAGAGCAAUGGUGUGAUCUCAGCUCACUGCAACCUCCGCCUCCUGGGUUCAAGCGAUUCUCCUGCCUUAGCCUCCAGAGUAGCUGGGAUUACAGGCACCCUCCACCACUCCUGGCUAAUUCUUUGUACUUUUAGUAGAGACAGGGUUUCACUAUGUUGGCCAGGCUGGUCUUGAACUCCUGACCUCAUGAUCCACCUGCCUUGGCCUCCCAAAGUUUUACAGGAUUACAGGCGUGAGCCACCGCGCCCGGCCCACCCUGUGCGUUUUCCUUGUUCCACGGCCUUUGCACAUGCACUCUCCUCUGCUUGGAAUAUGCCUGUCUCAUGCCCUUCAACUGGACAACACCUGCUCCUGCUUCAGAUUGCAACAGAAAUGUCGUUUGCUCGGAGAUGCAUCUUUCUGCUCCUCUAUCUAAAUUAGCUUCCCUGGGUCUCUCUCCUGCAGCACGCCAUCUCUUUCACUCUGCAUGAUUUGCUAUUGCUUUUUUACUUAUUGGUUUUUUAAUGUCUGUCUCCCUCUUUUUUUUUUUUUUCUCUUUUUGAGACAGAGGCUCACUCAGCCACACAGGCACCUUCUCCACGUCAGUGCAGUGGCACAAUCUUGGCUUACUGCAACAUCCCCUCCCAGGUUCAAGCCAUUCUCCUGCCUCAGCCUCCUGAGUAGCUGGGAUUACAGGCAUGCACCACUACGCCCGGCUAAUUUUUUGUAUUUUUGGUAGAGAUGGGGUUUCUCCAUGCUGGUCAGGCUGGUCUCGAACCCCAAAGUGCUGGGAUUACAGGCGUAAGCCACUGUGCCCGGCCCUGUCUCCCUUUUAGAAUACGAGUUUCAGGCACCACAUCUGCUCUGCUGGUGGUCAAGUCCCCAUCCCCAGCACAGCGCCUGGCACCAAAAGGGCACUCAACACUUUUAGUGGAACGAGCAGAGGUGUUUGCUGCUGUUUCCCCAGCGUUCCCAAUCCUGCCAUUCCAGUCUUGUGCUAGAAAGAGUGCAGCCCCAGGAUCCAGCCUGUAGGAAGGAGAGGUGGCCUUGUGAAGGCCCCCCUGCAUUCCCAGGCCCCAAGGAGGUGCAGGAGGAGGGAGAGCCUCUCCAGCCAGCCCUCUGGUUCCAGAAGAGCAGCCCGCCUGUCUCCCUCACCUGCUGCAGUCCCAGAAUCCCCUAGACAGCACUGAGGCCACCUCUGCAAAGCUGGGCCCCAGAUGACAAGGUUCUCCUCUCACCGGGACCACUGGGACACCAUGCAACAUCUGACCUAUAUUAAUCACAAGUGCUUAUUCGCCGUCUUGGUCCCCUCCCACCCAGCACUAAACCCCACCCUGCACAGGCACCUCCAUCCAUCCAAGGACGUUGUAAAAAUAAAAUGAUCACAACCUAGCCCUCGGGGAGCCUCGGCCUCAGUGUGUCCUGCUCUGAGGCGGGCAGCAUUCACAACCCAGUUUGAUGAGGAGAAGCAGAGAGAAGGAGGAAAAAAGGAGGAAGGAAUUUGUGGAGGAGGAGGGAGUGAGGCAGAUACGCAAGAACUUGAAGACAUGAGGGUAGAUGAGAUGAGAAAGAAAGGGAGAAAGUGACAAGGAAGAGGAAUGAGAGCAACACAUGGAGAGAAGAAAAAUUAGCAAAAGAGCCCAGGGGAGCGAUCGGGGAGCGCGACUAGAAUUCUAACAAGAACAGUGGAAGCCUUAUAAAGAACAUUAAAUAGAUGGGAACAGAGAAGCAAAGAAUCCUGGAAGGAAAUUGGUUAACAGGAGAAGAAUGGGAUGAAAGGAAGAAAAUAAAUGAAAAGCAAAUAGAACUGACUCUUCUGCUCACCCCUCCAAAUGAAACUGGGCUGUUUGCUGAAAAUAGAAACAGACGAAGUGAAACAGCCCAGGAAUACACGAAGGCUGAAGGCCGAAGAGUUGGGAAGGAAGGGUUGGCGCAUAAGACAGAAGGCAUUGGAGGCAGACCCAGGUGACAGCUUCGGUGGGGGCUUUCACCAACGACCGGACCGGCUCCUGAAAGCUGGUUGCCGUUCUAGCCUCGGGCCAGGCAUGUCCAGUCCUCAGAGGUCUGGCUCGGACGCAAGCUCUUUCCCGGACUCCACACCUGCCUUGCCCUGCCGUGCCCUGCCCUGCCCGGCUGGGAGUUUUCAGUUCCAGGAGGCCGGCUGCUGGUUGCUCAGGAGCAAACUGUUCCCCUAAGGCCCUGGUCAAACCCAUCGACUCCAUUAUCUCUCUUCUUCAGCCUUGACCUCAGAGGCUCUUGGGCAGCCAAGGGUUCUGUCUGGGAAUGUGUAGUCUCCCCCAGGUCCAUCCUCGAGAUGCACAUUUGGACAAAUGCACAUUUAGACAUUUUGUCUCCAAACGUGCAGUAAAAAAACGCAGUGCACUCAGAAUUGCCAUCCUUCUGUCUUCCUUCCUUCGCUAAUGCACUAUUCAACAAGGACUAACUGAGCACUUAGUAUGUGCCAGGACUCCAGUGGAUAAGACAAGUCUCUGCCCUGCAACACUUAGAGUUUCUCUGUCCUCUUUCCUCCCAUCUUUGACUCCUCCCUUCUUUUUUGCUCAUAUCCAGCCCUCCCGUGUAUCAGUUAUUCUUGCUGCAUUGGAAACCGCCCCAAAACUUACUGGGUGCAAACUAAUGCCAAUGGUUUGUGAUUACAUCUCUCACGCAUCUGGGGGUUGACUGGGCUCCGCCAGGUAGUUCUCGCCAGGGUCUUUCACUCAGUCACAGUUAGAUGGGGGCUGAGGACUGGGGGCCGGGGCUGAAGCUGGUUUGAAGGCCUCCUCCCUCAUGUGUCUGGUAGCUGGGAGCUCACCUCGAGCUGGCAGCUGAAACUUCUAUGGGUGGCAUCACCAUGUGUUCUGGGCUUCCUUACUGUGUGGUAACUGGGUUCUAAGGGGUUGUGGUACCUUUUUCCUACCUACUGUCAGAAGUCACAGAGCAUCGCCGCCAUUGUGUUCUAUUGGCAGUAAUGCUGUGCUCUAAGGCAGUCACGGAGAUCCAUCCAGGUUGAUGGGGAGGGGACACAGACCCCACCUCAUGAUGGAGGAGUGGCAGAGUCACUUGUAGGAUGAGUAUGUGGGAGCAUCUUUGGAAAAUACCAUCUUCCACAGUUCACCUUCUGGCCACAGUCAUUCACAAUGAUUCACACCCACCCCUGUUAUGAGCUGAACUGUGUCUCCCCCAAAAUCCAUAUGUUGAAGCCCUAAUCCCAGCACCUCAGAAUGUGACUGUAUUUGAAGACAGGUUCAUUUAAGAGGUGAUUAAAUGGCAAUGAGGUUAUUAGCAUGUGUCCUAAUCCAAUAUGACUGUUGUCCUUAUUAAAAAAGACUUGGGCACAGACAUACACAGAAGGAAGAGUAUGGGCAGACACAGGGAGAAGGUAGCCGACUGUAAGCCAAAGAGAGGCCUCCGAAGAAACCAAUCCUGCUGACACCUUGAUCUUGGACUUCCAGCCUCCAGAAGACACCCAGACUGUGGAAUUUUGCUAUGGGAGCCCUAGCAGGUGGAUACAUGCCCCACAUACAAAAUCUAUUCAUUCCUUUCCCUCAAGAUCUGUCUGGCAUCAGCUCAAAGGCCAGGGUCCACCCAGGUGCAGGUAUGGACAUGUCUCCUCAGGUGGCGUUUCUUGGGUACAGCUCCUUGAGUGCCACCCCAUUCAACAGGAAGACCUGUGAGCUACAGAAAUGAGUUACCUGCCCUCCUACUCCACAAUGGUGAUUUAGGCAUAGGAUAACUGUUUAACACCAUAGGCACCCCUAAGCUAAAAGUGGGGGAGUGGGAGACACACAGGAGUCACCGGUCCAGAGCAAUUCUGAAAUCCAUCUGGGUAUAUGUUGCCAGUUCCUGGCUUAGUCCUCAGCCCAGCUGCCUGGGAAAGACCCCCACAUGGCUCCUCACUCUGCCCUCUGGGCUCUUGCUUCUUUCCUCCGGUCCACUCUUGGGUUUCCAUAAGAAAUGCCCAGUGUUUGCAGCUGAGCAGUUUUUCUGAACCUGAUUUCUGCCCAUGGAGAUUUUAUGGUCCCAAAUCUCCCUUUUCAUUUGAUGCUUUCUCUAACCCUUUCAUUCAAAGCCAAAACAGGUCCUUUAAAAAUUGUGUAGGUUUCUUAUCUUCUGAGUCAAUUUAUAAUCCCUUCCAUUAGACAAAAGCCAUACCCACAAAUCUCUUUUUUCACAUUGGGUUCUUGGCAAGGCUGCUCUUAUGAUUCUUAGGAGCUCUAUUAUUUAACAGAAAGGGUCUUCAACAUAUGCUGUUAAGAUCCUUAGAAGGCCUUUGUCUGCUUGCAAAGGUAAUGAGGUACCGCCUUAAAUCCUUCUAAGUCCUAAUAAAAGGCUUUAUAGUUAUGUCCUUGGAUUCAUCUUUAACUGUUUUCCUAUUAAUGACCCUGGUUUUAAUCUUUGCCUGGAAGUUAUUUCUUAUUUUGGGAAGGAGGAAAGUUUCAAACCAAGGAAAUCUUGGUUCCUUUAUCUUUAAUAGUUCAUUCUUCAGCUUCUCUUAUUGACAGAGUAGGAUUUGAACUCAGGACUACUUGGCCUCGAAGCCUGCACUCUUGCUGACAAGUCCUGUCACUUCUCUGCACAGUGGAGCCAGCAGGGAUUCCAUCAAGUCCUGGGGAAGAGUGGGAUUUGAGCAGGUAGAAGAAGGAGGGUGUGCCAGGCAGGGGUGUCACCUGAAUGAAGAAAUGGCAGGAAAUGCAAGGUGCACUAGGAGACAGAGGCAGUCAAGUGCAUGUGAGAGAGACGCUAACGAAAGCAGAGGCUGUGAAUGUCCUGCCCGUAUUCCUUCAGCCCAGCCCGGGGGCCCCCUGAAGACGGUUCUCUGCUUGCUGGCACUGUCCUGUGUCACUUGGCAGGCCCUAGAGACUCAGGGUGGGAGUGCCAGGGGUUGAUGCUCCCUCUCACUAAGGACAGACAGGAGCUGGAGUGUAAAUACCCAGCUGCCUUGCCCUGGGGCUGGCAGAUCUGAGAAAUCUCCUACCAAUGCUGCCUCUCAGAGGCCCCCAGGCUCACAGGGGCUACCCCCAUUUCAGUGUACAUUUUACUGGCUUUUUGGGUCCAUCCCUGUCUCACUUCUCCAUUCCCCCAUGCUCCUUCUGGGGCAACCUCCAAGAUAAACUACCUGUUCCCAAACACUUAUCUCAGGGUCUGUCUCUGGAGAAAAGAAAACUAAGAAUUUUUUUUUUUUGAGACAGGGUCUGACUGUGUCACCCAGGCUGGAGUGCAGUGGCGCGAUCUUGGCUCACUGCAACCUCUGCCUCCUGGGUCCGAGCGAUUCUCCUGUCUCAGCCUCCCAAGUAGCUGGGACUACAGGCGCCCACCACCAUACUUGGCUGAUUUUUUUUUUUUUUGUAUUUUUAGUAGAGAUGGGGUUUCACUAUGUUGGCCAGGCCGGUGUUGAUCUCCCAACCUCAAGCGAUCCGCCUGCCUCAGCCUCCCAAAGUGCUGGGAUUACAGGUGUGAGCUAUGAAACUAUGAAGUAUCCCGUUUGCUGGAUGAAGAAACUGAAGCAGAAAGAAGUUAACACAGAGUAGCCAGGAAACAGAACUGAAGGAAAGCCUUUGAAAUGAAAGUGCCAAGAGUGUGUGUGUGUGUGAGCGUGUGUGUGAGUGUGUGUGUGAGUGUGUGUGUGUGAGGUGUGUGUGUGAGUGUGUGCGUGAGGGUGUGUGUGUGAGUGUGAGUGUGUGUGUGGUGUGUAUGUGUGAGUGUGUGAGUGUGUAUGUGAGUGUGUGUUGUGUGUGAGGUGUGUGUGAGUGUGUGUGUGAGUGUGAGAGUGUGUGUGAGUGUGUGUGUGAGUGUGUGUGUGAGUGUGUGAACAGAGGGAGGUAGUGCGUGAGUGGGCGGUGGGGAAGGGAGGCAAGAUGAGGCUGGUGAGGCGGGUGCACACCAGGGCAAGGGUUUGGGUCACUAACCGAGGGGUACAGGAAGCCUUGGAAGGCUUUGGGCAGGCAGGGUGACAUGUUACGAUGCGAAGACACAGUCACCCUGGAGAGCGAGGCAAACCUGUAUUAAAAGGCUCCAGGGCCGGGCGUGGUGGCUCACGCCGGUAAUCCCAGCACUUUGGGAGGCCGAGGCAGGUGGAUCACGAGGUAGGCAGAUCGAGACCAUCCUGGUCAACAUGGUGAAACCCCGUCUCUACUAAAAUUUACAAAAAAUUAGCUGGGCACGGUGGCGCGUGCCUGUAAUCCCAGCUACUCAGGAAGCUGAGGCAGGAGAAUUGCCUGAACCAGGAGGCGGAGGUUGCAGUGAGGCGAGAUCGCGCCGUUGCGCUCCAGCCUGGAUAACAAGAGCGAAACUCUGUCUCAAAAAAAAAAGGCUCCAAGCAGAUGUAAGGAGGUGAUUAGGACACUUUGGUGGUCACUCUAGGGGGCCCUGGGGACUUGCCUGGCAGGGGCCACUGAGCUCCUCGGUGGUCUCCAGAACCCUGGGGGCCACAUGCAGGCCAGUGCCUGCCUCUUUCCCUCCCCUCCCAAACCCCUUCCCCUUCCUCUUAGGUCACUGAGACCCUCCAUAUUUUCACCUCAGGGUCUCUGGCCUGGGGAGGGUCUGGGCUGGGGAGCCAGGCACCCCCUGCAGCCCGGCCAGGCUGGCAGCUCAGCAAGAAGGCCAGCCAGACCUCCUGACUAGCAACCAGCCAGGCACCAGAGGCAAGCACGUGGCUGGGUGGGUGCCACUGUCUGCCCCAACGCCCUGAGCUUGCCACGCUGCUGAGCAGAUGCUCUUGUAAGUGAGUGCGAUCAGAAUGGGGUCAGGAGGGUCUGCUGGCCCCACCUUCUCCUCCACCUCUGCUGGGCUCCACUGCCUUUGCUGCUGUCCUGGAAGAGCUGACCAGCUUGACUGGCCAGGGCACCAUGCAGCCAGGAGUGGCAAAGUGUGGCGUGAUGUGACCCAGGCGUUCAGUUGUGCAGGGUGCAGGGGACAUGGAUCCUGGGGGCUCUGGUGCAGGUGAGGCAGGACUGGAGUGGAGGAAAGUGGUAGGAGAGUGACAGGGGUGUUGGCUACCCUGCAGUCACUUCAGGGAGCCCCUGGCUGCACAUUGAGCCCGAGUGUGUGACUUGUGGUGUCGGAAGGUCUGGCGUCUCUAGGGAGGAGCAGAAGGGAACUGGAACUUGCUGAGGGCCUACUAUGUGCCUGGUCUUCAGCAGGUGCUUCCUUGGGUUAUUACUGGCCCCUUGCCCCACUUCAGAAGCCCUCUGUCCACCCUUCCUGGGGGCCUUUUCUUUUAACCUUCCAUGCUGGGGGUUCCAGCUCCCCACUUCACAGUGUUUAUGACUCGGGUCUUCCUUCCACCUUGGGAUAGGACCUGCAGGACAGCGGUGUCCCUGCAAGCCUUUCCUCCAGCGUCCCUAGCUGCAGGAUCCUUCCCAGGCACCUGCUUAUCUGCUUGGGUAGCUUCUUUGUGAGCAAAUGAACACAGGUUCUCCACAAGUCCCAAUUCCUGCAUGCCAGAGUAAUCAUCUUCGCCUUUCUGAGCCUCAGUUUUCUCCUCUGUAAAAUGGGCAAAAUCACUCCCACCAGCCAGGUGCAGUGGCUCUCACCUGUAAUCCGAGCACUUUGGGAGGCACAGAUGGGUGGAUCACCUGAGGUCAGGAGUUCGAGACCAACUUGGCCAACAUGGUGAAACCCUGUCUGUACUAAAUAUACAAAAAUUAGCUGGGCGCGGUGGCAUGCACCUGUAAUCCCAGCUACUUGGGAGGCUGAGGCAGGAGAAUCGCUUGAACCUGGGAGGCAGAGGUUGUAGCGAGCCAAGAUCAUGUCACUGCACUUCAGCCAGGGUGACAGAGCAAGACUAUCUCAAAAUCAAUCAAUCAAUAAUAAGAAGAAAUCACUCCACCUUGAAAGGUGAGGCUUAAAGGGGAUGAAGAAGGUAGAAGCCUGGCACAGAGGAAGUGCUGAUCAGAGGCGCAGUGCCAGCCGUGUGGCUGGGGUAAGUGUCUGCACCUCUCUGAGCCACCCUGCCUCAGCCCUAAAGUAGCCCUAUCCUGCACAAGGAAAGGAGGGAGAGAAGGGCAGCUGACAUGGUGUGUGAGCUGUGAGGCUUGUGCACUGGGACAGCUGGAGCCUGCAUCACAUCCCAUCCAUGUGAGUCAAGGUUUGGGUAAGGUGAAGGCAUCUCUCCACCCCACCUAGCACUGGCAGCCAGGGAUCUUGGAGGCUCCCCUCCAUCCCACGUGGCUCUCUCUUCCUCCAUCACCCAUUUUUCCUUGGGCCUUUGCACUGGUUUUGCAGCCUGUGGCUGGGCACUGGUGCCAGUCCUGUCUUGCAUGAGGCGCCAAGGCUGCCCAUGUUGUGUGGGGGAGAAGUGAGAUCCCCCAUCUUGACUCAAGGCUCAGCCCUAGGCAACACCCCCAUAUCCUGGUGUCUGCCGCUGUCUCUGGAGUUAGGAGUCCCAGAGCCUGCAAGAGAGGGGAACAUGUGGCAACCCCAGAGGGUGAGGACAGAGAAGGGGGCUCUGUUGAGAGCUCCUGCUGCAGGCUGCAGCCACCCCCUCUGCCAGCCUGGCCAGGGCAGCCACCCCAGUCAGGCCCCCACUGUAUGCCCGGCAUGCUCCCAUGGUACGUCUCACCUUCACACUGGCCCAGCGAGGGAGGAACAACCAUCCCAUUUUACAGAUGGGGAAGCUGAGGUUCAGGCAGGCUUGCCCGAGGUAAUCCCUAAGUGUGUCUGGCUGCUUCCGGAAUUCCAUAGGCUGCUGUUAUCAUAGAAUCAAUGGUCAACCCAGGAGCAGUGGCAUGCACCUGUGAUUUCAGCUACUUGGGAGGCUGAGGCAGGAGGAUUGCUUGAGGCCAGGAGUUUAAGACCAGCCUGGGCAACAUAUUGAGACUGGUCUCUUAAAAAAAAAAAAAAGAGUCCAAGCAUGCCUGUAAUCCCAGCACUUUGGGAGGUCAAGAUGGGUCAGGUGAGGUCAGGAGCUCGAGACAAGCCUGACCAACAUGGUCAUACUCCAUCUCUACUAAAAAUACAAAAAUUAGCUGGGCAUGGUGGCGGGCACCUGUAAUCCCAGCUACUCGGUAGGCUGAGGCAGGAGAAUUGCUUCAUCCCCAGAGGCAGAGAUUGCAGUGAGCUGAGAUCGCACCACUGUACUCCAGCCUGGGUGACAGAGUGAGACUCUGUCUCAAAAAAAAAACAAAAAAACAAAAAAAGAAUCAGAAUCAGCUGAGUUUUCUUUGUGGCACCAAGCAUUUAUUUCCAACACUCAACCAUCAGCAGGUUUUGCCCCUGAGACCAGUACGCACCUGAAGGGAGGCGGCUGGGAAGGUCCCAACCUUCCUCCGGCGGUUUCCUGAGACUCACAGACAUCUGAAGGUGGCGGUGGCAUCACUAGAAGCCUGCACUGGGGAAUGCUGGUUGCAGGUCCACUGCAUCCUCAGCCAUAACCUAAACAGUUGCCUUGGCUUCCUGGGGUGGCUGUGCAGGUUGAGUGAGAGGAGACACGCUGGAAGAGGCUUUAGGGGAGCCUGGGCACCAAAGUGGGGCUCACAGGGGUUAGGCCGAUGCUUGUACCUUGCACUCAGCUUGCCCUUGAGCAAGGGAGCUGCUGUUGGAAUCUGCAAUGAGGCAAUGAGGCAGGAGAAAAAAGAGACUCAGAUGUCAAGAAGGCGCCCGAGGUCACAGAAGAAGCCAGGUGUCAUGUCAUCCAUCCCGGGUGCAUUUUCAUCUUUUGCGAAGUGGUACACAGACAUCCGCUUCAAAGAGGUGUCAUGUGAAAUAAAAUCAAGAUACAAUGUAUGAGCUACUGAUUUUUUGAAAAUGAUACUUGUUCAUGCAACUUUCUUCUUUGCUUAAAAACUUCCUUUUAUACUGCGGUAAUCCACUAUGAUCUAUAUCCUGCAUGCUUUAAACAAUUGUUUCAUGGAUAUAUGUUAGUUGUAUCUAUUUUGGGGGGUAUAUGUGAUAUUUUGACUAUCUGCUUUUGUUUUGUUUUGUUUUGUUUUGUUUUUGAGAGUCUCACUCUGUCGCCCAGGCUGGAAUGCAAUGGUGCAAUGUCAGUUCACUGCAACCUCCGCCUCCUGGGUUCACGUGAUUGUCCUGCUUCAGCCUACCGAGUAGCUGGGACUACAGGCAUAUGCCGCCAUGCUCAGCUAAUUUUUGUAUUUUUAGUAGAGACAGGGUUUCACCAUGUUGUCAGGCUGGUCUCAAACUCCUGACCUCGUGAUACACCUACUGUGGCCUCCCAAAGUGCUGGGAUUACAGGUGUGAGCCACCAUGCCCGGCUGACUGUCUGCUCUUAAUUUAAAUGCCAUCUGAUAAAUGAUACGGUGACUAGGGGAUUUCUGGACUUGGCACCUGAACUCAGUGCAGUCCUUAUCUCAGGGUAUUUGAUGCUUACUGUUGGAACGGCUUGGUCAAUUGAAAAUUAGGUCAUUUUAAUCCAUGGACUAGUUCUCUUUCGGGUAAUUGUAAUCAACGUGUAAAUACACUAGGGCAAACCGGAGAGGGUACAUUGAAGGUAAACAGUGCAUCACGGUGUCCACUCAAGAGUGCACCUUCACUUAACACAGGUUACAGGGGCAGAACCAGCCCGUUCUCCAUUUUUGUGUGUAGUUCCAUGCUUCAAAUGUAUCUUAAUUUUAUUUGCUUUUCUCAAACCUGAAAUAAAUUUUAGCUUUUAAGCUAUAGCAGGGGGGAAAGAAAAAAAGCCUCAGCCCUGCAGCAAGGCCAGUGCUCACAUUCUCGUCCUCUCUCUGCCCUUAGCGAGGUCCCAGUGCAGAAAGCACCCUGGUCUUUGGUGGUUGAGAUCCUUGCCCUUGGUGGAAUCCUACAACCCUCAGAACGACAGGGCCCCCUGGACUGUGAGCCAGUGGACCAGCUGUUUCUUGAGGUUUCAGGGAAACAGACAAGCUUCGAGCACAGCUGGGUUGCAGCAUGUUUUUUUCUUCCUUUUCGCCUUCAGCCGUGGCAGCCCGCUCCUGAUUUCUCUGGAAAGGCAGCUCCUAAUUAGAAUGGAUCGAAGAGUCUUUGCUUCAGCUUUGUUCUCGGUCUCGACUGAAUUGUUGCUUUAGGACUUAAUCUGGUGCAGCCACUGGUUGGCUGAUAGCCUUGGUUCUCCGAGCUCCUCUCAGGCUCAGGCAGGCUGGCACCCAGGGGGCACCCAGAGCUCUGCCCCCUCUCACUCCAGCCCUCUCUUCCUUCUUUCUUCUCUCCACUUGCCUUCUCUCUCUCUAAUUUCCUUUCAUUAAUGACCCAGGGCUGCCCAGGGUGCCAGUCCCCACUGGUGGGAGUGUAAACUGGUACAAUUUAUCUGGAUGGCAAUUUGUCAAAUGCUAUUAAAAGCUUUUUUUUUUAAAAAAAAGUACAUAGAUUUUGACUUGGAAAGUCCCUUUCUAGGAAUGUGUGUCCUGGAGAAAUAAUUGGACAGGGGUCGACAGAUAUGUGCAAGGGGACACUGUCCUUGGCAGUUUUCCUGAGUGACCACCUGGAAACCCGGUGUCUUUCAACAGGAAAUCAUUACGUGUGGUCACAUGAUAAACUAACUGCAAAAGAACCUUUGGGGUCAAUCAGGGAAAUUUGAAUGUGGACUGAGCAGUAGAUGCUCCUAAAGAAUUACUGUUAAUUUUAUAUAGCAUGACGAUGGCCUUGUGGUUGGUUUAGAGGCAGUGACUGAAGGACUGGUAUUUGGUUUAAAUGAUUGUAGCCACCGCCAUCAUGGAGGGGAACGGGUAAGUGCCACAGGAUUUGGAAGUUCUGAAACUGGGUGUCAGGUAAAUGAGCGUUCAUCACACUAUUCUGUUUCUGUGUAGGUUUUAAAAUUCUCACUAUUUAAAAAGAAAUAAAACGACCAUGUAAAAUCUCUCUCUCUCUCUCUCUCUCUCUCUCUCUCACACACACACACACACACACACACACACACACACACACACGCUCGUUUUGAGACAGAGUCUUGCUCUGCAACCUCCCCCUCCUGGGUUCAAGAGAUUCUCCUGCCUCAGCCUCCCAAGUAGCUGGGACUACAGGUGCCAGAUGCCACACCCAGAUAAUUUUUGUAUUUUUAGUAGAGAUUGAGUUUCAUCACGUUGGCCAGGCUGGUCUCGAACUCCUGACCUCAAGUGAUCCGCCUGCCUCGGCCUCCCAAAGUGUUGGGAUUACAGGUGUGAGCCACUGCACGUGGCCUAAAAUCAUAUUUUCUAACCUCAAAUAAUAUGCACCAGGUACUGUUAAAAGACAUAAGUUCCAAAUAGUAUAUAUGGCAUUAUCACAUUUUUGUUUGUUUGUUUCAAAAUAUGUACGUAUUUUUACAUGCAGGGGGAAAGGGAGAAGGCGCGCACACUGGGUGUGAUGGGCGGUUACCUCUGAGGGGCAGGAUUUGAAUAUGUUCUAUUUUCUUUUUUAUGCUUUUAG